rnacentral:lncRNA from 1 species
UACCAGGCAGACUAUAUAUGAAGACAAAUACACAUAAAAUAAAAAUAAGUAAAUCUUUAAAAAUAGACUCGGCAGGGAAGACCCAUUUAGGCUACUCUGAGUAUCUGGGUGGCCUGUGCCAGCUUUGUUGAAGGUGGUGGCAGUAGAAGCUAUAAGCAGUUAAUUUGUGUCUGUUUUGACAUAGCCGACUGGAGUUAUAGAGUUCUUUGGGUUUGUUUGUGUUCGCUAUGCUGGGGAUCAAACCAAGGACUUUGUGAAAGCACUGUACAAUGGGACCACAUCCAUGACUUCAAAAGAUCAGUGUUCAGACUUGGUGAAGUGCAUGCUAAGCUGGAUGUGGCAGUGCAUACCUUUAAUCCCAACACUUGGGGGCAUGAUGUCUGAGUUCAAGGCUAGCCUAGUCUACACAGGGAGUUCCAGGACUGCAUAGAAACCCUGACUCAAUAAAAAAGAAAAGAAAAGCAGGAAAGAAAGAAAGAGAAAGAGAGAAAGAAAGAAAGAAACAAAGAAAGAAGGAAAGAAGGAAAGAAAGAAAGAAAGAAACAAACAUACAUCUGCUGUUCUUACAGAGGACCAAUUCGGUUCCCAACACACACAUGACGGCUCAGAGCUGUCUA